GGGGGACGAACCGUGGGAAACUACGGCUAAUACCGCAUGAUGCCUGAGGGCCAAAGACGAAAGUCGUUUGAGGAGGAGCCUGCGUCUGAUUAGGUAGUUGGUGGGGUAAAGGCCUACCAAGCCUGCGAUCAGUAGCUGGUCUGAGAGGAUGAUCAGCCACAUUGGGACUGAGACACGGCCCAAACUCCUACGGGAGGCAGCAGUGGGGAAUAUUGGACAAUGGGCGAAAGCCUGAUCCAGCAAUGCCGCGUGUGUGAAGAAGGUCUUCGGAUUGUAAAGCACUUUUGGCAGGGACGAUGAUGACGGUACCUGCAGAAUAAGCCCCGGCUAACUUCGUG
rnacentral:rRNA from 1 species